AAGUCGUAACAAGGUUUCCGUAGGUGAACCUGCGGAAGGAUCAUUACAACGUAUCCACGUACCAAACUCGCGAACUGUUCCCAAUAGAGUGAACCAGUGGAUGAAGUUAUGGUUAGUUCUCGGAUUUUCAUCUGAGAACUGAAAGGCUUUCGAUCGCCAGCAGAGGUGUUCGCACUUCUCUGGGCUUCGUUUACUCUAUUGCGGUUUCCCAUCAGCUGUUUUACCCAUUAUUAACCCUUUGAAAAUUUUGAACUGAACUUGAAGAUCGGCUGCGGCUGUCCUUGUUGGCUCCGGUCACGGCAGCUUAACGUAGCCUGUUUUCCUCAUUACGAAACAAAAGAACAACUCUUAGCAACGGAUAUCUUGGUUCUC
rnacentral:misc_RNA from 1 species